GAUGAACGCUGGCGGCGUGCCUAAUACAUGCAAGUCGAGCGAACGGACGAGAAGCUUGCUUCUCUGAUGUUAGCGGCGGACGGGUGAGUAACACGUGGAUAACCUACCUAUAAGACUGGGAUAACUUCGGGAAACCUGAGCUAAUACCGGAUAAUAUUUUGAAACGCAUGGUUCAAAAGUGAAAGACGGUCUUGCUGUCACUUAUAGAUGGAUCCGCGCUGCAUUAGCUAGUUGGUAAGGUAACGGCUUACCAAGGCAACGAUCCAUAGCCGACCUGAGAGGGUGACCGGCCACACUGGAACUGAGACACGGCCCAGACUCCUACGGGAGGCAGCAGUAGGGAAUCUUCCGCAAUGGGCGCAAGCCUGACGGAGCCACGCCGCGUGAGUGAUGAAGGUCUUCGGAUCGUAAAACUCUUUUAUUAGGGAAGAACAUAUGUGUAAUUAACUGUGCACAUCAUGACGGUACCUAAUCAGAAAGCCACGGCUAACUACGUG
rnacentral:rRNA from 1 species